AUUAUUAUGAGCUUAAAUAUUGUGAGUAAAUAAAAAGUAUGAAAACAUAAAAUUAUGGCGGUACUUUAAGCUUUUCAGAGGAAUUUGCUCUUUAAUGGAUAAAACGCCUAAAUCUUACUAAGAUUUGUUAUUUCAGUUUGUAUACCACUAUUAAAGUAAUAAUUAAUAACUAUUUCUGUAAUUUUUACAAAAAAAUAAAUUAAGUCAUGGUGCAGCAAAAAUUUUAGGAUGAAGUGAAUUACAUUUCUUUUAAGAAAGUUUUAAUUAAAUUAGUUAUUUAGGAUUUGAGAGUAAAAAUUCAAUAAAAUGGAAUUUUGAAUAAAGUUCUAAAGUAUGUAC
rnacentral:rRNA from 1 species